ACUCAAAUGAAUUGACGGGGGCCCGCACAAGCAGCGGAGCAUGUGGCUUAAUUCGACGCAACGCGAAGAACCUUACCAAGGCUUGACAUGCAGGGAAAUCUCCCAGAGAUGGGAGGUCCGCAAGGGUCCUGCACAGGUGGUGCAUGGUUGUCGUCAGCUCGUGUCGUGAGAUGUUGGGUUAAGUCCCGCAACGAGCGCAACCCUCGUUCUAUGUUGCCAGCGCGUUAUGGCGGGGACUCAUAGGAGACUGCCGGGGUCAACUCGGAGGAAGGUGGGGACGACGUCAAAUCAUCAUGCCCCUUAUGUCUUGGGCUGCACACAUGCUACAAUGGCCGGUACAAAGGGCUGCUAAACCGCGAGGUGGAGCGAAUCCCAAAAAGCCGGUCUCAGUUCGGAUUGGGGUCUGCAACUCGACCCCAUGAAGUCGGAGUUGCUAGUAAUCGCAGAUCAGCAACGCUGCGGUGAAUACGUUCCCGGGCCUUGUACACACCGCCCGU
rnacentral:rRNA from 1 species